GACGGAGUUGGAUGGUCCGCUUAACGGCGUGUACUGUCUGACUUCGUCUUACCUCUUGGUGAGCCGAUGUGCCCUUUAUUGGUGUGCGUUGGGAAACCAGGACUUUUACCUUGAGAAAAUUAGAGUGUUCAAAGCAGGCCUAUGCCCGAAUACAUUAGCAUGGAAUAAUAGAAUAGGACG
rnacentral:rRNA from 1 species